UAAUAUAGUUCAUUAAUUUUUUGUAAUUAAGCUUAGGAUCCUACGGAUUUGCCCGACCCCAUCUUUGCUGUUGUUGGGAAGACUUUCACAUUUGGAAUUUAUGUGGAAAAGGAACAUGUUUUGUAUGAAUCUGAAAUUUACAAGGUUGGGAAAAUCUACAAAGACAGAAGGAUUGUUUUCACUGAAGAAGACAAACUAGUGAAUUCUCAUUCUGAUCAAGAUCUGGCUCUUACAAGUGGAGAAGAGAGCUCUGUCAAUCUCCUUGACAACCAAGAACACAUUAAAGGAAUGUCAACACCAUCCACAAAGAAAAAGGAAGCAUGGACUAACCCAACACCAGAAAUCACUUCGACUUCAAAGAAUCUUCGCUCAAAAGCUAUCAAGGUGGAGAAGAAGAUGAGUGAUUUGGAGGCUGAAGCAAGCAAGAAAACCUAAUUCUGCUGGCCCGAAAUUUCUAUUUUUAUUAUUUGGUUUUAUUUGUUUUCUUACUUUCUGAAGCAAUUUAUGUUUUUGUUUUUUAAUAAUUGUUUGGUAUUUCUUGGUUUUUAAAGCAUGUUUUUUGUUAAACUACUUAUAAUAAAGUAUGCUUCAGAUAA